AUACGGAGGAUCCGAGCGUUAUCCGGAUUUAUUGGGUUUAAAGGGAGCGUAGGCGGACGCUUAAGUCAGUUGUGAAAGUUUGCGGCUCAACCGUAAAAUUGCAGUUGAUACUGGGUGUCUUGAGUACAGUAGAGGCAGGCGGAAUUCGUGGGGUAGCGGUGAAAUGCUUAGAUAUCACGAAGAACUCCGAUUGCGAAGGCAGGCUGCUGGACUGUAACUGACGCUGAUGCUCGAAAGUGUGGGUAUCAAACAGGAUUAGAUACCCUGGUAGUCCACACAGUAAACGAUGAAUACUCGCUGUUUGCGAUAUACAGUAAGCGGCCAAGCGAAAGCAUUAAGUAUUCCACCUGGGGAGUACGCCGGCAACGGUGAAACUUAAAGGAAUUGACGGGG
rnacentral:rRNA from 1 species